GACGAACGCUGGCGGCGUGCUUAACACAUGCAAGUCGAACGGAAAGGCCCUGCUUUUGUGGGGUGCUCGAGUGGCGAACGGGUGAGUAACACGUGAGUAACCUGCCCUUGACUUUGGGAUAACUUCAGGAAACUGGGGCUAAUACCGGAUAGGAGCUCCUGCUGCAUGGUGGGGGUUGGAAAGUUUCGGCGGUUGGGGAUGGACUCGCGGCUUAUCAGCUUGUUGGUGGGGUAGUGGCUUACCAAGGCUUUGACGGGUAGCCGGCCUGAGAGGGUGACCGGCAAAAUUGGGGAUGGGAGCGGGACCAGCAACACCAGGAAGCAAUGGGGGGGGAAGAUUAGAACAAGGGGGGAAGAUGGCGACAGAAACGCCGGGGGCGGGAGGAGGGCUUUCGGGGUGAAAAAGGCUUUCACUCUGACCGGAGCGGAAGUGACGAUAAUGGAUAAAAAACCACCGCCUAACUGCGU
rnacentral:rRNA from 1 species